UUUGUGAUCUCUGGAGUGGAUCCAAACUGAGAGCAACUGAAAGCAUAAGGACAGACUGGGCAGGCAGAUAAUGUGGGUUCAGACUCCCUCCAACAGAGACAUCAUUUCAAAAUGGUUUUCCCAGGUGCCAGGUGAAAACACAAACCCCAGGGUACUGAGUAAAAGGUGUGAAGUGGGAUGAGUCCUCUUCCUGCUCUGUGAGCAGACACAGUGCUCACCCUGCUCAUGGGCUCUUCUUUCUCUCCUGCAGCUACCUACCUGGAAGAACUGUGCAGUAUAAUUUUACUCCAGCUCAACCUCUUCUAGGCUCAUCAGUUUAAGAUACUUGUUAUUUCCCCUGGGACCAAGACAGUGAAGGAAUGCAAGGUUCAUCAUUUCUCUGCUAUCCAGGGAAACCACAUGAGAAUGAGAAGAGCAGAUGACCAUCCUUAAAACUGCAUAUCAAAGAGUGAGAUUGAACUUGGAUUCUCGGAAACAGAGACAGAACUUGAACCAAAAGAAAGAAAAUGAUGCCCCACCUUCCAUACCCACUGUGAAGGAACCAUUUACUGGGCUCUGACAUGACCAUUAAUCUGUCCUCAUUCACCCACCUCUAAAGAAAACAAAAGCUAUGACUUUGCUUUGUGAAGAAUGCAAUAAGUAUUGUGCACACAGGUACACUCGUGUGCAUGCAUGUGCACAUAUGUGACACUGAGAAAUACUGCUGGAUCCAGUCCUCCAGAGAGAUUAAUCAUAAGGAAUUUGUUGCUAACAGAUACUUUUAGCCUUAAG
rnacentral:lncRNA from 1 species